rnacentral:tRNA from 1 species
GACGAGGUGCCCGAGUGGUUAAGGCGAAUGACUGCUAAUCCAUUGGAUUCUGUCUGCGUGGGUUCGAAUCCCAUCUUCGUCG